GUCGGGUGCAGUGGCGUGCGCCUGUAAUCCAAGCUGCUGGGAGGCUGAGGCUGGCGGAUCGCUUGAGUUCAGGGGUUCUGGGCUGCAGUGGACUAUGUUGAUCGGGUGUCCGCACUAAGUUCGGUAUCGAUAUGGUGUUCCUGGGGGAGCUCGGGACCACCAGGUCGUCUAAGGAGGGGUGAACCGGCCCAGGUCGGAGACGGAGCAGGUCAAAGCCCGGGUUCGGGGCUGCAGUGGACUAUGUCGAUCGGGUGUCCGCACUAAGUUCGGUAUCGAUAUGGUGCUCCU
rnacentral:SRP_RNA from 1 species